rnacentral:tmRNA from 1 species
GGGGAUGUACAGGUUUCGACGGAAUUGGGAAGUCUUGUACUGCAAGUAGGAGUGAAGGUUCCUUAAACUGACAAAAAAAUAACUGCUAAACGUGAAGAAGAAUAUUCUGACGAAGAACAGUUCGCAAUGGCAGCCUAGUCUGCUUUGCAGGAACUCAAUCGGCCCUGUUCCGCGUUGAUUGAUGUUCUUUUACCUUAUCGGGACUUGCCAAUCACUGUUUCUGGUCUUUGAUUGGGACUCUUUAAUCAGAAUAGGUCGACGACGCUUGUUAUGCUGCUACCGGCGAUCAACAAUCACCUCGCAUAACUAAACUUGUAGAUGUACCUGGUUUACUUUUUCGGACGGGGGUUCAAUUCCCCCCAUCUCCACUA